rnacentral:rRNA from 1 species
UACGGGGGGGCAAGCGUUGGUUCGGAAUUACUGGGCGUUAAAGGGUUCGUAGGUGGCUUGCUAAGUCAGGACGUGAAAUCCCUCAGCUUAACUGGGAACUGCGUCUGAGACUGGUGAGCUUGAGUGCAGGAGAGGAACGCGGAAUUCCAGGUGUAGCGGUGAAAUGCGUAGAUAUCUGGAGGAACACCGGUGGCGAAGGCGGCGUUCUGGACUGCUACUGACACUGAUGAACGAAAGCCAGGGGGAGCAAACGGG